CCUACGGGAGGCAGCAGUGAGGAAUAUUGGUCAAUGGACGAGAGUCUGAACCAGCCAAGUAGCGUGAAGGAUGACUGCCCUAUGGGUUGUAAACUUCUUUUAUAUGGGAAUAAAAUGGUCCACGUGUGGGAUUUUGUAUGUACCAUAUGAAUAAGGAUCGGCUAACUCCGUGCCAGCAGCCGCGGUAAUACGGAGGAUCCGAGCGUUAUCCGGAUUUAUUGGGUUUAAAGGGAGCGUAGGUGGAUUGUUAAGUCAGUUGUGAAAGUUUGCGGCUCAACCGUAAAAUUGCAGUUGAAACUGGCAGUCUUGAGUACAGUAGAGGUGGGCGGAAUUCGUGGUGUAGCGGUGAAAUGCUUAGAUAUCACGAAGAACUCCGAUUGCGAAGGCAGUUCACUGGACUGCAACUGACACUGAGGCUCGAAAGUGUGGGUAUCAAACAGGAUUAGAUACCCCUGUAGUC
rnacentral:rRNA from 1 species